GGGGCGGAUGGGACGGUCGCUGCCCGCGUCGCCGCGACCGCGGGGGCGCGGGGAGAGGAAAGUCCGAACACCGCAGAGCAGCGAGCCGGCUAACGGCCGGGCGCGCUUGGCGCGGCGACGCCGCGCCAAGCGCGACGACAAGUGCAACAGAGAAUAGACAGCCUGACUUCUACGCUCCGGGGCGCGGGCUCCAAGCGUAGGAGUGGCGAUGGUGAAACGGUGCGGUAAAGGCGCACCAGCGAGCGUGGCGACACGCUCGGCUAGGCAAACUCCUCGUGGUGCAAGACCAAAUAUGGAGGCGACUGAGGGCGGCUCGUCCGAGUCCCGCUCCGGCGGGCGCGUCUCCGGGUAGGUCGCUUGAGCCGACGAGCAAUCGCCGGCCUAGAUGAAUGACCGUCGCCGUCGUUUGACGGAACAGAAUUCGGCUUACACAUCCGUCCCAAAU
rnacentral:RNase_P_RNA from 1 species